ACAUUUUCUCUUUUUCUUUUUUGACUGCAUGUCACUUUUCCCCUAAAUUUGCUCCUUCUCCCCCGCUCCCUACGCUCCUUCCCUCUCUUUUUUCUUUGACAAACCCUAUAAAUGAAUUGCUAGUUAUUCUCUGGAAAAAAAAAAAAAAAGAAGAGAAAGUUUCCAGUGGUCAAAAAAAAAAAUCCCUUGAACAAUUAAAGUUUGGGGAACAGAUCUAAAAACCCCCGUUUAUUUUCAUAAAAAACAGGUUUUCCAGUGGCUAAAAUCCUUUUGUUUUUUUAAAAAGGGAGUUUUGGAGAAACAAAAAACAAAUCUCUCAAUUCUUGUCUAUCUACUUUAGUUAUUUAUAAGUUUUAAUUCUCAUUUUAUUGGGGGAGUAGUAGUGGAUCUAAGACCUCAAAGCCUCGUUCACUGCUCCUGUGGAAGGUCGUCGUGGAGCAUCCAAUUAAUGCCGGAGGUUUGAAGACAACCAAAGGAAAUCAGUGGAGAUGAAGUAUUAAAUAUCUUAGAUUAACUUUGAAUUGUAUUAUUAACUGACAUGUAAUAAAUUUUUUAUUAUUAGUUUUAGGAAGAGUUAUGGAAUGAUACAUAAAAGACAUGUUUGUCCUUCAAAUGUUCGUUAGGCCUACCUCUGGCAUAAAGAGGUCCCUUGUAUUAUAGAACGCGAUGUAUUAUGUGCAAUAAUAUGUCCUUACCGUA